UAGAAAUUAAAAAAAAUAUUAGACAGGAGAAAAAUCCACAAAUCCACAACGUCCAGGGUAUGUUUCAGAAACAAUAUUUUGGGAUAAACUCUGGUUCUCUGGAUAGCUCUAUCGGCGGCCCAACGGUUUAAAUUUCCUAGAAACACCACCAAGCCUAGUGAUGAAAAUGCCUUUCGCUUCAAGUAUUCUAGCUCAUAAAACAGACACCAACUGGAUAACGCAGGGCGCAAAAAAAAUAAAAAUAAAAUAAAAUAAAAAGUUCAUGGAAAAAGGUCCGUGGACCCGCAUCUCUUGAUUUUCUCUCUCACAUCGACAAUCUUGCAAUCAGAAAGGGGAGGAAGAGUCUCUGCACAGUGCUUUAUCAUCCAUUACAUGAUGUGCAGUAGUUACAUGAGCCUCUACCUGUACAAUACAUAGAGAUGGGCGCAAGCAAGCAGACCAUUAUUGAUUUGCACAAUGUAUUUUAGAACCACCCAAGUUCCCUGGCAGAAGACGACGGUGCUUCCAAUAUGCGCAGUAGAAAACCAUCACACUAAUCGAACAUUAUGGC
rnacentral:sRNA from 1 species